rnacentral:rRNA from 1 species
GACGAACGCUGGCGGCGUGCUUAACACAUGCAAGUCGAACGGAAAGGCCCUGCUUUUGUGGGGUGCUCGAGUGGCGAACGGGUGAGUAACACGUGAGUAACCUGCCCUUGACUUUGGGAUAACUUCAGGAAACUGGGCCUAAUCCCGAAAAGAAGCCCCUGCGCAUGGGGGGGGUUGGGAAAUUUCGGCGGUUGGGGAUGGACUCGCGGCUUAUCAGCUUGGUGGGGGGGUAGUGGCUUACCAAGGCUUUGACGGGUAGCCGGGCUGAGAGGGUGACCGGCCACAUUGGGACUGAGAUACGGCCCAGACUCCUACGGGAGGCAGCAGUGGGGAAUAUUGCACAAUGGGCGGAAGCCUGAUGCAGCAACGCCGCGUGCGGGAUGACGGCCUUCGGGUUGUAAACCGCUUUCGCCUGUGACGAAGCGUGAGUGACGGUAAUGGGUAAAGAAGCACCGGCUAACUACGUG